AUUGAACGCUGGCGGCAGGCCUAACACAUGCAAGUCGAGCGGGGUUUUCGGACCUAGCGGCGGACGGGUGAGUAAUGCGUAGGAAGCUACCCGAUAGAGGGGGAUACCAGUUGGAAACGACUGUUAAUACCGCAUAAUGUCUACGGACCAAAGUGUGGGACCUUCGGGCCACAUGCUAUCGGAUGCGCCUACGUGGGAUUAGCUAGUUGGUGAGGUAAUGGCUCACCAAGGCGACGAUCCCUAGCUGGUUUGAGAGGAUGAUCAGCCACACUGGAACUGAAACACGGUCCAGACUCCUACGGGAGGCAGCAGUGGGGAAUAUUGGACAAUGGGCGCAAGCCUGAUCCAGCCAUGCCGUGUGUGUGAAGAAGGCCUUCGGGUUGUAAAGCACUUUCAGUGGGGAGGAAGCGUUGUGUGUUAAUAGUACACAGCGUUGACGUUACCUACAGAAGAAGCACCGGCUAACUCUGUGCCAGCCGCCGCCGUAACAC
rnacentral:rRNA from 1 species